AACGAACGCUGGCGGCAGGCUUAACACAUGCAAGUCGAGCGCCCCGCAAGGGGAGCGGCAGACGGGUGAGUAACGCGUGGGAAUCUACCCAUCUCUACGGAAUAACGCAUGGAAACGUGUGCUAAUACCGUAUACGUCCUUCGGGAGAAAGAUUUAUCGGAGAUGGAUGAGCCCGCGUUGGAUUAGCUAGUUGGUGGGGUAAAGGCCUACCAAGGCGACGAUCCAUAGCUGGGCUGAGAGGAUGAUCAGCCACACUGGGACUGAGACACGGCCCAGACUCCUACGGGAGGCAGCAGUGGGGAAUAUUGGACAAUGGGCGCAAGCCUGAUCCAGCCAUGCCGCGUGAGUGAUGAAGGCCCUAGGGUUGUAAAGCUCUUCCACCGGUGAAGAUAAUGACGGUAACCGGAGAAGAAGCCCCGGCUAACUUCGUGCCAGCAGCCGCAGUAACAC
rnacentral:rRNA from 1 species